CCUGACAGUCGUGCGCAGACCAACUCCCUCCUUCUCCUUGGGCCAAGGUCCAUUAGGCCAGCAUCAGUUUGUUCCGCCCGUCUGGCCCAUAGCAGAGCCGGCCCAACUGCACGGACGCCGAGAAGACCCCAAGCCAAGACUACUACUUCUCCUUGUGCACCACCUUGCCCGGCCCGUGUCGUCCAUACCGUCGCAAAAUUCUACAGGGCAAAGCAAAAAACGAAAGGCCUUCACUACAGCAUGCGCGUUCAGGAUUUAGGCUCCCAGCGUGCACACCUCUCUUCUAGCACAAAAGAUUUGUAUCGCAAAAAAAAAAAACCCUCAGCAGCCUCUUCACCAACUUUGGCACCCUCCCCACCGUCCCGCUGCGGGCACCCUCUUCCCCUCCCGAGUGAUGUAGCCGAGACUCAAAACUUGAGUAUUCUCAUAGGUAAUUAAAGUCACAAAAAUAGUUGAAUAAUAAAUUGUUCAGCUAAUCAGCUCUAAAAUAUGCAUGAAAUAAACUGAUAAGUAAUAAUGAGAACUUACAAAUAUUAUAAUGUCGCUUUAAUCCUACAAUUCUUUAUGGUUUGGAAGCGG
rnacentral:lncRNA from 1 species